rnacentral:rRNA from 1 species
AGUGAACGCUGGCGGUAGGCCUAACACAUGCAAGUCGAACGGCAGCACAGUAAGAGCUUGCUCUUACGGGUGGCGAGUGGCGGACGGGUGAGGAAUACAUCGGAAUCUACUUUUUCGUGGGGGAUAACGUAGGGAAACUUACGCUAAUACCGCAUACGACCUACGGGUGAAAGCAGGGGAUCUUCGGACCUUGCGCGAUUGAAUGAGCCGAUGUCGGAUUAGCUAGUUGGCGGGGUAAAGGCCCACCAAGGCGACGAUCCGUAGCUGGUCUGAGAGGAUGAUCGGCCACACUGGAACUGAGACACGGUCCAGACUCCUACGGGAGGCAGCAGUGGGGAAUAUUGGACAACGGGCGCAAGCCUGAUCCAGCCAUACCGCGUGGGUGAAGAAGGCCUUCGGGUUUUAAAGCCCUUUUGUUGGGAAAGAAAAGCAGCAGGUUAAUACCCCGCUGUUCUGACGGUACCCAAAGAAUAAGCACCGGCUAACUUCGUG